rnacentral:rRNA from 1 species
AUACGGAGGGUGCAAGCGUUAUCCGGAAUCAUUGGGUUUAAAGGGUCCGCAGGCGGAUUAAUAAGUCAGUGGUGAAAUCCUCUCGCUCAACGAGAGAACUGCCAUUGAAACUGUUAGUCUUGAAUUCGUUCGAAGUAGGCGGAAUGUGUCAUGUAGCGGUGAAAUGCAUAGAUAUGACACAGAACACCGAUAGCGAAGGCAGCUUACUAGACCUGGAUUGACGCUCAUGGACGAAAGCGUGGGGAGCGAACAGGAUUAGAAACCCCUGUAGUCC